GAAAUGCGAUACGUAAUGCGAAUUGCAGAAUUCAGUGAAUCAUCAAGUUUUUGAACGCAACUUGCGCUUUCGGGAUAUGCCUGAAAGCAUGCCUUUUUGAGCGUCGGUUCAUUUAUCAUUUCAGUUUCCUUCUUGGAUGACUGGAGAUUGGGCGUUUGUUUUCUUUUUCAGAAAACUCGCUUGAAACGCGAAAGUGGUUUAACUUCACCUUUUCAUACAGCCCCGUAAAAAGGUCGCGGAUAAUUUGUGUUUUCGAACACUAUCCAGCGCAUUAUUUUUUCCGUGAACUUGGAAAAUGGUGAUCCACUCAAUACGAAGUUUUGUAUGUGAGAAUGUUCGUGAACAUUCCUCAUUCAAAGCUCCAACUUAAACAACCAAUCAGACCUCAAAUAAGGCAAGA
rnacentral:misc_RNA from 1 species